GAAACCUUGUUAAAAAGGCUCUUGCA
rnacentral:misc_RNA from 1 species